UACGAAGGGGGCUAGCGUUGCUCGGAAUCACUGGGCGUAAAGCGCGUGUAGGCGGUUGUUCAAGUCAGGUGUGAAAGCCUUGAGCUCAACUCAAGAAAUGCACUUGAUACUGGAUGACUAGAGGACCGGAGAGGAUAGUGGAAUUCCCAGUGUAGUGGUGAAAUACGUAGAGAUUGGAAGAACACCAGUGGCGAAAGGCGGCUAUC
rnacentral:rRNA from 1 species